GAAGUCUGCUGAUAUGGUUUUAAUCGGUAGGCAGAACUUCCUUCAAGCAAUGCAAUUGAUGAAUGGGUGACAAACAGCAUUAUUUUAUAAUGACUGCAAAUAUUUGUAGCUUUGUACAUCAGUUAUAUUAGUUCUAACUAUGGCUGAAGAUUCUGGUGGUAGCAGUACGGUGGGCUCUUGCUCUGAUGAUGCUUCAGACAUGACUAGUCCAUUUGUAGAAAUAGGCUUUAAUGAUAUUGAAUUUUAUGAAAGAUGUGGAGGAGGAGCCUUUGGCUGUGUUUAUAGAGCUCUUUGGAAAUCCCAGAGUAAAAUUGUUGCUGUUAAGAAAUUGUUGGUUUUAGAAAAAGAGGCUCAAGUGCUUAGUUUACUUAGCCAUAGAAAUAUUAUCAAAUUCUUUGGUGCUGUUACAAAGUCUCCAAAUUAUUGUAUUGUCACAGAAUUUUCAGAAAAUGGGUCAUUGUUUGCAUUUCUUGGUGAACAAGAAAAUAAUUCAAUGCUGAGUUUUGAGCAGAUUUUGCGUUGGAGUUCUGAAAUCGCUGCUGGAAUGCAUUAUCUUCAUGUUGAAGCCCCUGUGAAAGUUAUUCAUCGGGACCUAAAAUCAAAAAAUGUUGUCAUUAGUGCAGAUUAUGUCUGUAAGAUAUGUGAUUUUGGAGCUUCACGCUUUAUUGAUAGCACAACGAAAAUGUCUGUAGCCGGAACAUUACCUUGGAUGGCGCCUGAGGUAAUACAGUGCCUUCCUGUGUCGGAGAGUUGUGACGUUUGGUCCUACGGAGUUGUGUUGUGGGAAUUACUCACGCAUGAAGUGCCUUUCAAAGGAAUUGAAGGUUUUCAAGUAGCAUGGGCUGUUGUUGAGAAAGAAGAGAGGUUAACAAUACCCAAAUGUUGUCCUCCAAGAUUUGCCGACUUGAUGACCGCAUGUUGGAAAACAGAUCCAAAAGAAAGGCUUCCUUUUGCACACAUUUUGAAGAUUUUGGAAUCAAUGCAAAAUGAUGAUGCAUUUUGUGAUGAAUUAUCAGUUUAUCUCAGCCAGAAAAGUGUUUGGAGAGAAGAAAUUGAAGCUACUUUAGAGCUUAUGAAAAAAGCAGAGCACGAUUUGAAUCAGAAGCAAAAGCACCUAGAAGAAUGGGAAUUGAGACUUUUAGAAAAAGAAAAGAAACUGGAAAGAAAGAAAAAGUAUAUGCAAUUGUAUGACCUGGAUAUUAACACAUGGACUUCAGAUGAUGUGUAUCUAUGGGUGAAACAAUUAGGUACUGAAGCUAAUUCCACAGAUCUGGACCAGUAUGCCAAUUUGUUUCUAGAGGAACAUAUUAAUGGUCGAAGGCUGUUGUUAAUGUCUUCUGAAGAUUUGAAAGACAUUGGUGUUGUAGCAGUAGGGCAAAGAAUUCAUUUAAUGGAUGAAAUCACUAAGUUGAAAACUCAUAAUAAAAGAAUGCUUCAUUUUCCCCCUUUGGAACAGAGCAUUCAGCACAGUUCAUCUUCAAGUUCCAUUCGACCCAACACCAUGCGUUUAGUUAUCUUAUUUGGAAAUCAUGUGCGAUUAGGCUCCAAGCCUCAGGAUCAUAAAUGGAAAAUGUAUGUUGAAGUAGAUGAAGGAGAUAGUCCAUUAACAACAGUAGCAUGUAUCAAGGAAGUUAGUUUUGAAUGUCGACAUGCUGGACUGCCUCUAUCCAGAAUAACACAACCUCCAUUUGUUAUGGAUCGUUGGUGUGUUGGAAUCAAAGCUGAUACUAUUGUCACUUGUAUUGUAACAUAUGAGUCAAUAGUGAAAAAGCCAAGAUUUACGCAACAUAUUCAUCAAGUUGUGGCUGAAGGAAAUACAUCUCUUCAGAAGGAGGUGACUCUGAUGCUUCGUACUUUACCUCAAAACAAUAGAAGACAGCGAGAACAGCACUGUCGAAGUGCACCUAUUUUACCAGAAGCUUGGCAAGAUCGCUUUUUUCCUGAAUCAUUUUCUCUUCCCCCAGGCAAAAUAGAAAAAAGCACAUGGGCCAAAGUAGUAGCAGGUGAAACAAAUGUUCCUAAUCCUCUUCAGAAAAAUAAGAAAUUUGGCCAUUUUGAUGAUUCUGGUUCCAGUAGUGAAGAAAAUAUAUUUCAAAGUAUGAAAAGUAUUGGACGUCAUCUCCUUGAAGAUACUCAACCGAAGACCCGUUUAAAAAAAGUGUCUUUUACACUGCAUGAAUCUAGUUCAUCAGAAUCUAUUGGAAGUGAUACUCAGUUCUCCUCUAAAGUAUUUCAAGAGAGACGUGGCAGUACACCCUCAUGCCGUCCUCGAUUCAAAUAUAGACAUUCUGCAAGUGAUUCAGGUUUUCCAAUGAAUAAUGAUAUCAAAACUAAAUUUGAUAAAGAUUCUAGGUUUCUGAAAUUUCGAGAAUGUAGGAUAAGACUUCAGAGUGAAGUAGAUAGGUUUAUGAGGGACAAUAAAAAUGAUGCAACCUUUGAGACUGUUGCACGAAAGGCUGAAGAAGCUUUUAGAGAGCCAGUUGAAGAUGCCCUCGGUGAAUUUCCUCUACAUUUCAGAAGGCACCAUAAAGGAUUAGCCGGGCAAGGUGGCAGAGGUCAUCUUUUUCAAACUGACAAAGGCGAACCACAGUUACGAUCUUGGAGCUUAGAUAGAAAUGCAUUGUGAUUCUUAAGUAUUACUUCUGAUUAUUUAAAACUUUCGGUUAUGUAUAUAAAAAGGCAAAACCUUAAGAAGCUGAUCUCUUCUCUUCUGUGUAAGUUAUCUGAUGGAAAUCUCAAAUUAUGCUAAAGUCUGCAAUUUCUUUCUUGUUCUUUGAGUCAGUAAGUCUUUCUUUUGCAAGAACUAUUCAGCUGAAGGUGUUGAUGUAGCCUAGUUAAAACAUAAAAAAGUGCAAUAUUUAUAUCCAAAAACUGUUUAUUGUGAUACAAUCUGGCUUUUUCCUUAUGAAUUAUACUUUAUUCAGUUUCUUGACAAAAUUCAUUUCCUUAAUGUAAGGUCUAAGAAAAUCCACGAGGCCUUGAACUGACACGGAAAUUGAACAUUAAGUGAAAAAGUUAGAGAAAUCAAAAAAAUAUCCAAAACGUCAAAAGAAAAGUUGGUGUGUUAUGAGGGAAUAGGGAUCCACAUGCUAUGGUUACCUAAAUGCAAAUAUGCAAUGAAGAUUUUCUAUAAAUUUUAAUUAUUGUCAAUUUCAUUAAAUCAUUCCCAUUAUUUUCUAAGAAGACAAAAAAGUGAAAGCCAGUGCUACAAGAAAACCUAACAACAGCAUUGUAAUACUUCCUCAUUAUGUAACAUAAACCAUAUGAUUUUUAAGCUAACCCCGGGUUCCCAAAGUGUGCACAAACCAAAGAUGUUGGUGAUAGCCCGAAAAUCUCCAGUUAAUCACCUGUAAAGAUCCACUUUCCUAUUUUGUUUUUUCACGGUAACAUGUAUAAAAUGCAAUAGAGACAGACUAGGGUGUUGUGAGAAAUUUUUAAUUCUUCAACAGGUGCUUGAAAUCGGAAAAGUUUGGGAACUUGUGGACUUAUCAAAAAAAAUAUGUAAGAAAAAAGUUUUCUGUGUAUACCAGUAUAUAAGUAAAUUGGGAAUAUAUUAUUCCCUUCCCAAAACUCACAACGUUAUAUUUUUUUGACCAUAGAAACUGACUAAAACGAAUCACUUCUAUAAAAAAUUACAGUGAAAUUCAACCACACAAAACUCCCACAUUAUUUUCUGACUACAUUACUGUUUAUGAGAUUAACCAUUUUGACUUCAAUCGCAGUGUUGCCAGAUGGUCAAAUCCAGAUUUUCUCGAUUCCCUUCCAACUUUUCCCCAAAAAGCAAUGUUUUCUAUCAAAAUUCCCCAAAUUCAAAAAUUAUUUUUCCACUAAUAUUUUCAUAAAAUGAGUCGACUUCCUCUGAU